GACUGAUCGAAAUAAAAGGCAUCUUUUAUUUAAAAGACCUUUUUCGGAAGGUAUGCUUAAAGAGGGGCUUGCGUCACAUUAGUUAGUUGGCAGGGUAAAGGCCUACCAAGACUAUGAUGUGUAGCUGGACUGAGAGGUUGAACAGCCACAUUGGGACUGAGACACGGCCCAAACUCCUACGGGAGGCAGCAGUAGGGAAUUUUCGGCAAUGGAGGAAACUCUGACCGAGCAACGCCGCGUGAACGAUGAAGUAUUUCGGUAUGUAAAGUUCUUUUAUUGAAGAAGAAAAAAUAGUGGAAAAACUAUCUUGACGAUAUUCAAUGAAUAAGCCCCGGCAAACUAUGUGCCAGCAGCCGCGGUAAUACAUAGGGGGCGAGCGUUAUCCGGAAUUAUUGGGCGUAAAGGGUGCGUAGGCGGUUUAAUAAGUCUAUAGUUUAAUUUCAGUGCUUAACACUGUCCUGCUAUAGAAACUAUUAGACUAGAGUGAGAUAGAGGCAAGUGGAAUUCCAUGUGUAGCGGUAAAAUGCGUAAAUAUAUGGAGGAACACCAGAGGCGUAGGCGGCUUGCUGGGUCUUUACUGACGCUGAGGCACGAAAGCGUGGGGAGCAAACAGGAUUAGAUACCCUGGUAGUCCACGCCGUAAACGAUGAGUACUAAGUGUCGGGAUUACUCGGUACUGAAGUUAACACAUUAAGUACUCCGCCUGAGUAGUACGUACGCAAGUAUGAAACUUAAAGGAAUUGACGGGACUCCGCACAAGCGGUGGAUCAUGUUGUUUAAUUCGAAGAUACACGAAAAACCUUACCAGGUCUUGACAUACCUCUGCAAAGCUAUAGCAAUAUAGUGGAGGUUAUCAGAGAUACAGGUGGUGCAUGGUUGUCGUCAGCUCGUGUCGUGAGAUGUUAGGUUAAGUCCUAAAACGAGCGCAACCCUUGUCAUUAGUUGCCAGCAUGUCAUGAUGGGCACUUUAAUGAGACUGCCAAUGAAAAAUUGGAGGAAGGUGAGGAUCACGUCAAAUCAUCAUGCCCCUUAUGAUCUGGGCUACAAACGUGAUACAAUGGCUGUUACAAAGAGUAGCUGAAACGCAAGUUUAUAGCCAAUCUCAUAAAAGCAGUCUCAGUUCGGAUUGAAGUCUGCAACUCGACUUCAUGAAGUUGGAAUCGCUAGUAAUCGCGAAUCAGCAUUUCGCGAAUUCAUU
rnacentral:rRNA from 2 species